rnacentral:lncRNA from 1 species
AUGGUGCUCUAUAAACAACUAACUACAAGCAAUGGUAUCAGGCUUCUCGACACUAAAAUAAAAAAAUUCAUGGACAAAAUUUUGACCAUGCAGGAGCACCGAACUAAAGUAGCCAACAGAAGAGCUCAAAGAGAUGAGACUACCUGGUUUGCACGAUGCGCUUCACUGCUCAGCCUAGCGCUCGCCAUGGUCGUCGCCCCUGCUAGAUCUCGCCUCAAGCCUGGUGACAACAACGAGGAAGACCUUGUGCUCACCGUCGCCCCUCUCCGCUCGGUGGAUGCGUCGCUGUCGCCUCCGCAGAAGCCAGCAGUCGCCGACACCGUCGCCAUCGAGGGAUUUGGGGGAGAAUCCGCAGCCUCUGCUUCUCUCUCUCUCAGACGCGACUCCCGAUUUCAAACAGUGAAGCGGGAUUGAGUGCGACGUU